GCCCGAGAGUCGUGCGUGCGUACGACCCACCGACACCUCCCACCGGGGCACCUUCCUGCCGUGGAAACUGCGAGAGUUAAGAAGUGCCUUGCAGGAGGCUGGGUUCCUGCGGGCUCGCUAGGUGGUUUCUCUGAGGAGCCUCUGCGGCAUUGCGCUCUCACCUUGACCAGAGGGUGCUCCAGCCAGUACUCCCGGGCUGAGGUUAAAUGCAGUGAGCUAGUCAUCGAAUUAUGAGGGCAAGAAUUCGCUAUGGUUAUUGGAAUGCCAUCUGAAGCCCUACUGUUCGGAAUCCAGUCCUGUCUUCACCGCGUUCUUUGAUUUGGUGGCAGCAGUGAGAUUGAAGGAGACUUCUGACAGCUUCAGGGACAAUGAGAAAUACAGGCCCAAUGCCCUGUGAAUCCUUUGAGUUCUUUGUCUUUUUUGAAGUUUCUGAGGGCCACAGAAAUUGUACUAUAAAAGGUGUGUUGGAUGAAGAGGUGAUCAAACGAUAUACAGCCAAAACCAUAUAGAAAACAAGGCAGCAUAGAGGGCUUCCAGAGAUCUCAUAUAGAGCCAUGGAUCAUGAAUCCUACCCUGAAGCUCAGCAAAGCAGCAUCUGAUGAGAAUGGGAUGAAAAUUGAACGAGCACACCGAACUACCACCAUCCUUAUGCAAAAGCAAGUUUGGAGUUGCUGGCAGGGUUCUCAGGCCCCCUGUACAAAUGCUCUUGAACUGAUUCUGCUUCUGUAAUGGCUUCUCAUUUCAAAUAAAACAUUGACACGGAUAAA